AUAGCUCAGUGGCAGAGCACUUGCCUAGCAUGUACAAGGCCCUGGGUUCAAUCCCCAGU
rnacentral:tRNA from 1 species